rnacentral:misc_RNA from 1 species
GUGAAUCUUCAAAGUCGGCUUGUUGGAUUGUGCUGGUGGCAACACAUGUGCACGUCUGCGAGUCGCAAAUCCACACACCUGUGCAUCUAUGACUCUGAGUGCCGCUUUGCAUGGCCCUUGACCGGGCCUGGCGCUCGAGUACUUUCACACACUCUUGAAUGUAACGGAAUGUCUUGUCGUGCAUAUCGCACAAAACAAAAAAA